rnacentral:rRNA from 2 species
GGGGGAGAGGAGUGACUUUAUAUAUAUAUUUUGUUUUUUUUUUUGUAGGAUGAACGCUGGCGGCGUGCCUAAUACAUGCAAGUCGAACGAGUUCUCGUUGAUGAUCGGUGCUUGCACCGAGAUUCAACAUGGAACGAGUGGCGGACGGGUGAGUAACACGUGGGUAACCUGCCCUUAAGUGGGGGAUAACAUUUGGAAACAGAUGCUAAUACCGCAUAGAUCCAAGAACCGCAUGGUUCUUGGCUGAAAGAUGGCGUAAGCUAUCGCUUUUGGAUGGACCCGCGGCGUAUUAGCUAGUUGGUGAGGUAAUGGCUCACCAAGGCGAUGAUACGUAGCCGAACUGAGAGGUUGAUCGGCCACAUUGGGACUGAGACACGGCCCAAACUCCUACGGGAGGCAGCAGUAGGGAAUCUUCCACAAUGGACGCAAGUCUGAUGGAGCAACGCCGCGUGAGUGAAGAAGGCUUUCGGGUCGUAAAACUCUGUUGUUGGAGAAGAAUGGUCGGCAGAGUAACUGUUGUCGGCGUGACGGUAUCCAACCAGAAAGCCACGGCUAACUACGUGCCAGCAGCCGCGGUAAUACGUAKKUKKCAAGCGUUWUCCGGAUUUAUUGAGGCGUAAAGCGAGCGCAGGCGGUUUUUUAAGUCUGAUGUGAAAGCCCUCGGCUUAACCGAGGAAGCGCAUCGGAAACUGGGAAACUUGAGUGCAGAAGAGGACAGUGGAACUCCAUGUGUAGCGGUGAAAUGCGUAGAUAUAUGGAAGAACACCAGUGGCGAAGGCGGCUGUCUGGUCUGUAACUGACGCUGAGGCUCGAAAAGACAYGGGUAGCGAACAGGAUUAGAUACCCUGGUAGUCCAUGCCGUAAACGAUGAAUGCUAGGUGUUGGAGGGUUUCCGCCCUUCAGUGCCGCAGCUAACGCAUUAAGCAUUCCGCCUGGGGAGUACGACCGCAAGGUUGAAACUCAAAGGAAUUGACGGGGGCCCGCACAAGCGGUGGAGCAUGUGGUUUAAUUCGAAGCAACGCGAAGAACCUUACCAGGUCUUGACAUCUUUUGAUCACCUGAGAGAUCAGGUUUCCCCUUCGGGGGCAAAAUGACAGGUGGUGCAUGGUUGUCGUCAGCUCGUGUCGUGAGAUGUUGGGUUAAGUCCCGCAACGAGCGCAACCCUUAUGACUAGUUGCCAGCAUUUAGUUGGGCACUCUAGUAAGACUGCCGGUGACAAACCGGAGGAAGGUGGGGAUGACGUCAAAUCAUCAUGCCCCUUAUGACCUGGGCUACACACGUGCUACAAUGGAUGGUACAACGAGUUGCGAGACCGCGAGGUCAAGCUAAUCUCUUAAAGCCAUUCUCAGUUCGGACUGUAGGCUGCAACUCGCCUACACGAAGUCGGAAUCGCUAGUAAUCGCGGAUCAGCACGCCGCGGUUGAAUACGUUCCCGGGCCUUGUACACACCGCCCGUCACACCAUGGAGAGUUUGUAACACCCGAAGCCGGUGGCGUAACCCUUUUAGGGAGCGAGCCGUCUAAGGUGGACAAUGAUAGGUGACACAGCGGGGGGCAAGCAAAAGAGAAAAAAAAAAAAAAAGG